UAAUACUCCAUAGAUUAGAGACACUGGAAUGUUCUUUAGUCGAAAGUUCUGGCGCCUUAGGAUGAAUCUGCGGUCGAUUAGGUUGUUUGUUGGGGUAACGGCCCAACAAGCCUGUAAUCGAUACGGGUUGUGGGAGCAAGAGCCCGGAGAUGGAAUCUGAGACACGAUUCCAGGCCCUACGGGGCGCAGCAGGCGCGAAAACUUUACAAUGCAGGAAACUGUGAUAAGGGAACUCCGAGUGCCCGGUAUACGCGGGCUGUCCAGGUGUUUAAAAUCAUCUGAAGAAAGGGCCGGGCAAGACCGGUGCCAGCCGCCGCGGUAAUACCGGCGGCUCGAGUGGUGGCCACUAUUAUUUGGGCUUAAAGCGUCCGUAGCUGGACCCGAUAAGUCUUCUUGGGAAAUCCGCCGGCUUCAACCGGCGGGCGUUUAAGGGAUACUGUUAGUUUAGGGACCGGGAGAGGUGAGAGGUACUCCGGGGGUAGGAGUGAAAUCCUGUAAUCCCCGGGGGACCACCGAUGGCGAAGGCAUCUCACCAGAACGGCUCCGACAGUGAGGGACGAAAGCUGGGGGAGCGAACCGGAUUAGAUACCCGGGUAGUCCCAGCCGUAGACUAUGCGCGUUAGGUGUAC
rnacentral:rRNA from 1 species